rnacentral:ncRNA from 1 species
UUUUGGUAACGAAAGUUUUAAUAGGGAAAACAGUAAAAGCUGUUACAGCCCCCGCUACUGUGAAAGGUGAUGGCACUUAAAUCCACUGUGCACGCAUGGGAAGGAAAGUGCUAAAUGAGCCGAUAGUCAGGAGACCUGCCAAUUUUUAU